UCUGGUUGAUCCUGCCAGUAGUCAUAUGCUUGUCUCAAAGACUAAGCCAUGCAUGUCUAAGUAUAAGCAAUUAUACAGCGAAACUGCGAAUGGCUCAUUAAAACAGUUAUAGUUUAUUUGGUAACUCAAAUUACAUGGAUAACCGUGGAAAUUCUAGAGCUAAUACAUGCAUAAAGGGCACACCGCUCGUAUUUAUUAGAUAACAGACCAAUUUAAAGGUGACUCAUAGUAACUGAUCGAAUCGCCGGCAUCUCGCUGCGAUAAAUCAUUCAAGUUUCUGCCCCAUCAGCUGUAGAUGGUAGUGUAUUGGACUACCAUGGCUUUCACGGGUAACGGAGGAUUAGGGUUCGAUUCCGGAGAGGGAGCUUGWGAAACGGCUACCACAUCUAAGGAAGGCAGCACGCGCGUAAAUUACCCGAUACUGGUUCGGUGAGGUAGUGACAAGAACUAACGGGCCGACUUAGUGCGGGGGACUGAAAUGAUUCGACUUUCUCGACCUUUACGAGGAACAGAUGGAGGGCAAUUCACGGUCCCAGU
rnacentral:rRNA from 1 species